UACAUGUGGGGCAAGCGUUGUUCGGAAUUACUGGGCAUAAAGGGUGCGUAGGUGGCUUGUUAAGUCAGGGGUGAAAGUUUUCGGCCCAACCGGAAAACGGCCUUUGAUACUGGCGAGCUCGAGUGCGUGAGGGGUAACCGGAACGAGCAGUGUAGCGGUGAAAUGCGUAGAUAUUGCUCGGAAGGCCAACGGCGAAGGCAGGUUACUGGUGCGCAACUGACACUGAGGCACGAAAGCGUGGGGAGCAAACAGG
rnacentral:rRNA from 1 species